UGAUUGAUCUCAGAAAUUGACCGACAGAGCUUCUGCAACUUUUCUGGGAAUGCUGUCCAGAAGGAGAAGAGAAAGAUAGUUUUUGCUGAUGAGGCUGGCGGAAAGCUUUGUGAUGUCAAGACUUUCGAGAAUGACAGGGCUUCUUUUACAGGGUCUAGUAGUGACAAACAGGGUAUCACCAGGUCUAUUUUGCUUGAGACUAAUUACCUUUCGGCUGGAAGCGUGAAGGUGAAAGCUCUCUUAACAAUUACAUUUUCGGGAGAUCAAACUUGUGUUUUGAUCUUUUUCAAGGAGAAUCACAGAAAACGAUCUCCCAAACCUCCGAGAAUGCCUGCACGAUAACUCCAUGAUACUGUCUCGAAUUCAAGGACAAAAAACACUGCAAAAGUUCCUGUAAAUCCUCGGCCUCAAAUAUUUGCUUUUCUAAUAUCAUCUCCAACAUAGACCUCUUAAAGUCCCGGUGUGGGUUCUGUGAUUUCUUCACCACCGCCACGCUCUCCUUCACUCUCCCAUCAACCUUGCGUGAUAUCACCUGCUUCAAAACGGAUGAUCUCACAGGUGAAGGAAUCUCUGGAGACGUCACAGUCUUUGAUCUUUUCCACUUGUUCAAUGAAACUUGGUGUCCAAGCUUUUUAAUUUUCUUUAGGUUACUCACUUUCUUGUUCCCUAUAGGCUUAUUAAACGCUUCAUGAUAUUCUGAUUGCCUGGCUGUAGUAUCCAAUGAAUGGCUGAAUUCACAAGAAGAAUCAUAGGAGAAACUUCUUGAAGAACAAAGUAGGGUUUCAUUUUCUUCACCAGCAACAUCAGUACUGCUAAAGCACCCACUAGUAUCAACAGACAAGACACCUGUCUUCACCUUGUUUUUCUUGAUAUUAAUUUCUCUGUUUUUGUUUUUUCCAGUUACCAUAAAGGGUGACAUGUCCCCACUCUCAUCAGAAAAUGAGAAGGGCACGUUUAGGUGAGGUUUGGCUUGCCACCUGGCUUCUUUCUUGCACGCAAAAUCGGGCGAUUCAAUGCUCCAAUCUGACAUGCAGCAGCGUGGGCACGAUCGCGAUUGGCAUUUGCAGCCGACGGAAAUGGUCUUCCUUGACACUCGGCAUUUGUAAUAAGGUGUUGAUGGUGGUGGUGGUGCUUGGAGGUUACAAGGGUAAUUGAUGUCGAGUGCUUUAGGGUUGAAAGGAGAGAGCCUGUGGAUAGCUGGAGUUGGAGCUUCGGGACAAGAAGGGUCUUUGGAUCUACAGAGUUGGAAUGAGGUGAUAACACGAGAGAGCUUAUGCUUGAGACGAUUAGGCAUCUUGUGGAAGUUCAUGACCGUGAGAACGUCUGUAGUUUUGAGACAACGUGCUAAGGCUUAGCUAUAAGAGGUUGGAUAUAUAAUGGAAAGAGGCCGGCAUUCAAGAUGAAAGACAACAGCUUGAACCCACCGGGUUUCAAGAGUAUUAAAUUAAAGGAUCUGCACGCCUGGUUAGAAUGACCAAAUCCAAGUGAUGAUGUAUGCUUUUUGCCUGAAAGCUGCAUGGAAUUCCAGUAUCAUUCAAAUUUAUUAGAUUUGGGUUUUGUGAGAAAACAAUCUCUCUCUAAUCAUGGUUAAUUAGUGAGUUGGAUCAGUAAUUCUUAAGCAUAAAAAUGAAGGCUGUGAAUAAUUUUCAUGAUGAUUUCUAUGUUUAUGCAAAAUGAGAGAGCACA